GACGAACGCUGGCGGCGUGCUUAACACAUGCAAGUCGAACGGUGAAGCUCCAGCUUGCUGGAGUGGAUCAGUGGCGAACGGGUGAGUAACACGUGAGCAACCUGCCCCUGACUCUGGAAUAAGCGCUGGAAACGGCGUCAAAUACUGGAUACGAGAAGGGUCCGCAUGGGCACUUUCUGGAAAGUUUUUCGGUUGGGGAUGGGCUCGCGGCCUAUCAGCUUGUUGGUGAGGUAAUGGCUCACCAAGGCGACGACGGGUAGCCGGCCUGAGAGGGCGACCGGCCACACUGGGACUGAGACACGGCCCAGACUCCUACGGGAGGCAGCAGUGGGGAAUAUUGCACAAUGGGCGAAAGCCUGAUGCAGCGACGCCGCGUGAGGGAUGACGGCCUUCGGGUUGUAAACCUCUUUCAGCAGGGAAGAAGCGAAAGUGACGGUACCUGCAGAAGAAGCACCGGCUAACUACGUG
rnacentral:rRNA from 1 species